UUAUCCCUAACCCAUUAAUCCCUUUACUAAUAAUCCAUUAAUACCCAAAACCCUUCACUCAAAAUUCUUACUCCCAGAAACCAUGACUAACUCAAGUCAACCCUUUCUUACUUUAUUUUCCUUAGUUAUCUUCCUUAUCGAAUCCGUAAAACAAUUGAUUUUUUACCUUAAUUAUGAGCCAAUAUAUUAGCUCCAUUUUUAGUCAAAAUCGCCGACGCGCCUGAAGAUUCACCUACUCAUUUCCCAUUCACAGGUUCGGACUUAUCAGUUGAAUGUAGACAGGUUUGAGAUCCAAGUACUUCAAGAGGAAGUGAUUGUUAGAGCCGUGUUGGUACCAAUACUUGGGAGACUAUGAGGUAGCUGUUAUGUUAUCCGCAGACCUUGAAGUUCUCUUUCAUGUAUUUCCUUUGUUACUGCUCUAUUGUUCAGACAAUUGUAUUGAGGAUUUUGCUUUGUAUUUUGAUAUUUAGUAGUGCUCAUGUACUCGUUGACACCGGAUCAUUUGGAUGGUUGUAGUAGUAUUGUUGUUUUUUUGUUUUAGUUA